GAGUUCUCUCUCUCAAAAAUCACUCACGCCUCUCUCCAUCUUCCUCUUCAGCCGAGUUCUCCCUCAAGAUCAGUCGAGCUCAGCCCCUUCCUCUUUCUUUCUCGAUCUGUUCGUCCGAGGCGAGAAGGACGAGCCCAAUUUCUCCCUGACAUUGAAAUCGCCUCUGUCGCCGCUGCAACAUCCGGCGAACAGCCGGGUCUCGCUCGACCUCCUGCGUCGGUCUCUCUCACCCUCUCGAUUUCUGGAAUCGCAGAACAUGAAGGCGAGCUUCUUCGCCUGAAACCGCUGUCGUCGUCUCUGUAAAUCCAGCGAACGGCGGUUGAACCUCCUCCCUCACGUCCAUCUCCGACAAUCAACACUCGACUGAUCCUCUCGCUCUCUCUCCUCUCGAAGUUUCACCGCCUCCUUUUUGGAACUCCGGCGAACGACAGCUAUAAGCCGCGCGGCCGCGGCUCCUUCCGGCGAGGAACCUCGCACCGCCUCGCACAGGAAGAGGAAAAAGGCAGCGCCUUUGCCGCCGUGCCGUGACUGAGUAACCGGCGAGCAGAACCGCUGAGGUCUGUGCUUGCGCCCCUCCGACGCCGGUGAAAGUUCUGCCGUCGCGUCCUCGAUUCACUGAGCAGGGCAGUCAGCCUCAUUUCCUAAAGCUAAGUUCGAUUCCCAAUUGUUGUGUAAAAGAAAUUCUUGUGGUAUCUAAUACUCUAUGAAUCUCAUAAAUGUUAUUGUUAUCUUGAGUACUUGGUUUAGAAGCUAAAAUGUUGAAACGUACUUAUCUCGCAUAAAAAUUCUAGUCUGAUGUAUUGCUAUUUAUGCCUUUGUCUUGUGAAUAAAACUGAUUGAGCUAUUCUAUAUCUGAAUUUUUGAUUGAUCUAAGCAUGCUAUGUUGGGGUGUGAAAUAUGCAAACAUAUAGAUUAACUUGAGAUGGUAAUACCUUGAUUGUUUUGUCCUUUUGGCUGUCUGUUGCUCUGUUUGAAUUUAAUGAGAAGAUAGCUGAAAAAAAUCACAUAUCUUGUUUUUCUUUAACAAUGCAGGGAGAACUAAGAAAAGAAAAAAAAAUGGAUAAGGCUAAGCCAAUCUUACCUCUUCGAAGUUUUGCAGCAGCUAGACAAUUCUCUCAAGCUAUUGAUGCUUAAAGAGAGAAGAAUUUGGUGGGUGAUAUAAUAAGGAGUGAAGUUGGUGGCUGUAAAGGGAGGAAAGCAUGGCUUUUGGUGGUUGAAGAGGAAUGGUGUUGCAUUUGAUGUGUAGUAAUGUGGGAUAUGGCUGAAGUACAGCUCUUGCCUCUUGGGAAUUAUAAACUUGUAGUACAGUAACGCGCUUAAUGAAAUACUAAUCUUGAAUUCUUACUAA